rnacentral:rRNA from 1 species
GUGGGGAAUCUUGCGCAAUGGGCGAAAGCCUGACGCAGCCAUGCCGCGUGAAUGAUGAAGGUCUUAGGAUUGUAAAAUUCUUUCACCGGGGACGAUAAUGACGGUACCCGGAGAAGAAGCUCCGGCUAACUUCGUGCCAGCAGCCGCGGUAAUACGAAGUGGGCUAGCGUUGCUCGGAAUUACUGGGCGUAAAGGGCGCGUAGGCGGACAGCUUAGUCAGAGGUGAAAGCCCAGGGCUCAACCUUGGAAUUGCCUUUGAUACUGGCUGGCUUGAGUUUGGGAGAGGUGAGAGGAACUCCGAGUGUAGAGGUGAAAUUCGUAGAUAGUCGGAAGAACACCAGUGGCGAAGGCGACUCACUGGCCCAAUACUGACGCUGAGGCGCGAAAGCGUGGGGAGCAAACAGGAUUAGAUACCCGUGUAGUCC